UACGAAGGGGGCUAGCGUUGCUCGGAAUCACUGGGCGUAAAGCGCACGUAGGCGGAUCGUUAAGUCAGGGGUGAAAUCCUGGAGCUCAACUCCAGAACUGCCUUUGAUACUGGCGACCUUGAGUUCGGGAGAGGUGAGUGGAACUGCGAGUGUAGAGGUGAAAUUCGUAGAUAUUCGCAAGAACACCAGUGGCGAAGGCGGCUCACUGGCCCGGUACUGACGCUGAGGUGCGAAAGCCAGGGGAGCAAAGCGGG
rnacentral:rRNA from 1 species